rnacentral:tRNA from 1 species
CACUGUAGAGCUAGACUAGCGUUAACCUUUUAAGUUAAAGACUAAGAGAAGCAUCACCUCUUUACAGUGGA